GGAAGGAAGGAAAUUAUUUCCCUUCUCAGCCGACGUCAAUAUAAGGAGAUGAUGUUGGCUGUUUUGGAAAAGAAGCGUCUUCGAAUGUCCCCACUUGAUAUGAGAUUUCAUCUUCGUGAUUUGAUUGGUUCUGGUCAUCUCAGAAGUGACCAGACUCCAGCUGGUAUAAUUAUCAGAGUAUCAAAAGAUUAG